CGGCGCCCCCUGCCGGCCGCGGAGGGCGCGCCUUGGAGGGAGAGGACUUUAGGUGACGCCGCCAGGAGGCGAAAUUUCACCUGCCAGCAGGUAAAAGCUCUGGAGGUCAAAAGAAAUGAGACUGCUGGGCUAAGAUCAAGGUGUCAGCAGGGCUGUAUUCCUUCCCAAGGCUCCAGGGGAGAAUCUGUUCACUUGCCUUUCCCAGCUUCUAGAGGUUGCCUACAUUCCUUGGCUUGCGGACCCUUCCUCCAUCUCCAGAAUCAGUAACGAAAGAUCCAAAGCCAUAUCCUGGCUGAGUUGGCUGAGUUGAGCAGGACACUGACAAGGAGGCUGCUGAGCCUGCAACUCGACUGUUCUGUUUGAGGAGCUCUGUGCUUUAUCAUAGAAAUGGAUCUGAGAUGUGGUCUCCCUAUGCUGCCCAGGCUCAUCUCAAACUCCUGGGCUCAAGCAUUCCUCCCACCUUGGCCUCCUAAAGUGCUGGGAUCAUAGGCGUGAACCACUGUGCCUGGCCUCAUGAUAUAACUUCUUAAUGUUAGUUUUUCCUUAAAGAGGGACUGCUUGCAGAGAGCUGUCACUUCUUUCUGCUUAGAACAGAUGAAAAUACAGAAGUAUAACAUCUCUAGUGGCUCAAAGAUAUACACAGAGCAUUAACAAUCCACUCACAGGAGUGUCAACACAUAUGCAGACAUCUGCCAUGCAUAGUUUGAAAAAACACCCCUGCAUCUGUAAGGACAGAUCUGUAUUUGUCAUUAGAGGGGAACAUUACAUUCAAAUUAUUUUAACAAAUGAACUUUGGGAUUUAAAAAACCACUGCUUUUCCCUUUAAUUCCAGUGCCUGUAUAACCUGCUUGAGUGAUGGGACAAAAAGUUAAUUCUACUUCUCUGUUGUUUCAUAGAAUAAUAUAUUUAGCUUCAAAAGAUAAUGUGAAGUUUCUCUAAAGAGAAAACAAAUUCUAGUGUGAUCAGGUGAUUUGGAAGCUGAGAUCUACAACACAGACUCCAGUGACUAAUGAGUGGUAUAAAACACAAUACAAUUAUAAAAAGAUGACUGUGAGGAAUUUUUAUUUUCC
rnacentral:lncRNA from 10 species